rnacentral:rRNA from 1 species
AAUGGCUCAUUAAAUCAGUUAUCGUUUAUUUGAUAGUACCUUACUACAUGGAUACCUGUGGUAAUUCUAGAGCUAAUACAUGCUAAAAACCCCGACUUCAGGAAGGGGUGUAUUUAUUAGAUAAAAAACCAACGCCCUUCGGGGCUCCUUGGUGAAUCAUAAUAACUUAACGAAUCGCAUGGCCUUGCGCCGGCGAUGGUUCAUUCAAAUUUCUGCCCUAUCAACUUUCGAUGGUAGGAUAGUGGCCUACCAUGGUGGCAACGGGUAACGGGGAAUUAGGGUUCGAUUCCGGAGAGGGAGCCUGAGAAACGGCUACCACAUCCAAGGAAGGCAGCAGGCGCGCAAAUUACCCAAUCCCGAUACGGGGAGGUAGUGACAAUAAAUACUGAUACGGGGCUCUUUUGGGUCUCGUAAUUGGAAUGAGAACAAUUUAAAUCCCUUAACGAGGAACAAUUGGAGGGCAAGUCUGGUGCCAGCAGCCGCGGUAAUUCCAGCUCCAAUAGCGUAUAUUAAAGUUGUUGCAGUUAAAAAGCUCGUAGUUGAACCUUGGGCCUGGCUGGCCGGUCCGCCUCACCGCGAGUACUGGUCCGGCUGGGCCUUUCCUUCUGGGGAACCUCAUGGCCUUCACUGGCUGUGGGGGGAACCAGGACUUUUACUGUGAAAAAAUUAGAGUGUUCAAAGCAGGCCUUUGCUCGAAUACAUUAGCAUGGAAUAAUAGAAUAGGACGUGUGGUUCUAUUUUGUUGGUUUCUAGGACCGCCGUAAUGAUUAAUAGGGAUAGUCGGGGGCGUCAGUAUUCAGCUGUCAGAGGUGAAAUUCUUGGAUUUGCUGAAGACUAACUACUGCGAAAGCAUUCGCCAAGGAUGUUUUCAUUAAUCAGGGAACGAAAGUUAGGGGAUCGAAGACGAUCAGAUACCGUCGUAGUCUUAACCAUAAACUAUGCCGACUAGGGAUCGGACGGGAUUCUAUAAUGACCCGUUCGGCACCUUACGAGAAA